UGAGGAAUAUUGCGCAAUGGGCGAAAGCCUGACGCAGCGACGCCGCGUGAAGGAUGAAGGUCUUCGGAUUGUAAACUUCUGUUAAGUGGGAAGAAAGAACUGCCAGUAAUAUGGGCAGGUGAUGACGUUACCACCAGAGAAAGCACCGGCUAACUUCGUGCCAGCAGCCGCGGUAAUACGAGGGGUGCAAGCGUUAUUCGGAAUUACUGGGCGUAAAGGGUGCGUAGACGGCUUGCUAAGUUGAUUGUUAAAUACCUCGGCCUAACCGGGGAAAAGUGAUCAAAACUGGCGAGCUAGAGGAUGGAAGAGAGAAGUGGAAUUCUCGGAGUAGCGGUAAAAUGCGUAGAUCUCGAGAGGAACACCGAUGGCGAAGGCAGCUUCUUGGUCCAUAUCUGACGUUGAAGCACGAAAGCGUGGGGAGCAAACAGG
rnacentral:rRNA from 1 species